rnacentral:rRNA from 1 species
AGGAUGAACGUUGGCGGCGUGCCUAACACAUGCAAGUCGAACGGUGAUAGCAAUAUCACAGUGGCGCACGGGUGAGUAACACGUAGCUUACCUGGCUCAAAGAGCGGGAUAACGUUCCGAAAGGAAUGCUAAUACCGCAUAAGCUCACGGACUAUAGAGGUCUGCGAGAAAAGGGGGAACCCGCUUUGAGAUGGGGCUGCGGCCCAUCAGCUAGUUGGUGAGGUAAGAGCUUACCAAGGCAUCGACGGGUAGGGGACCUGAGAGGGUGACCCCCCACACUGGGACUGAGACACGGCCCAGACUCCUACGGGAGGCAGCAGUGAGGGAUAUUGCGCAAUGGGCGAAAGCCUGACGCAGCGACGCCGCGUGGGUGACGAAGGCCUUCGGGUCGUAAAACCCUUUUUUGCGUGACGAGAAAAAGGACGGUAGCGCAAGAAGAAGUCUCGGCUAACUACGUGCCAGCAGCCGCGGUAAAACGUAGGAGACGAACGUUAUCCGGAGUUACUGGGCGUAAAGGGCGUGCAGGCGGCUGCUUAAGUCUGGCGUGAAAUUCAACGGCUUAACCGGGGAAUGGCGUCGGAUACUGGGCAGCUCGAGGGCGGUAGAGGCGUGUGGAAUUCCGGGUGUAGUGGUGAAAUGCGUAGAGAUCCGGAGGAACACCAGUGGCGAAGGCGACACGCUGGGCCGCACCUGACGCUAAGACGCGACAGCAUGGGGAGCGAACGGGAUUAGAAACCCCGGUAGUCCAUGCCGUAAACGAUGCCAGCUAGGUGUUCGGGGGGCGAAAGCUUCUUGGGUACCGAAGUUAACGCGAUAAGCUGGCCG